rnacentral:rRNA from 1 species
UAGGGAAUCUUCCACAAUGGACGCAAGUCUGAUGGAGCAACGCCGCGUGAGUGAAGAAGGUUUUCGGAUCGUAAAGCUCUGUUGUUGGUGAAGAAGGAUAGAGGCAGUAACUGGUCUUUAUUUGACGGUAAUCAACCAGAAAGUCACGGCUAACUACGUGCCAGCAGCCGCGGUAAUACGUAGGUGGCAAGCGUUGUCCGGAUUUAUUGGGCGUAAAGCGAGCGCAGGCGGAAUGAUAAGUCUGAUGUGAAAGCCCACGGCUCAACCGUGGAACUGCAUCGGAAACUGUCAUUCUUGAGUGCAGAAGAGGAGAGUAGAAUUCCAUGUGUAGCGGUGGAAUGCGUAGAUAUAUGGAAGAACACCAGUGGCGAAGGCGGCUCUCUGGUCUGCAACUGACGCUGAGGCUCGAAAGCAUGGGUAGCGAACAGG